GGUUUUCAUGUAAUUGUUGCAAGCAACUAAAGUAAAUGAAGUUACAGAAGCUGAAAUUUGAGCAAUUUUUAAAAUUCUGAAAAUAAACAAGAAAGGGGAAGGGGAUCCUAGGUUUAUAUAUAAUAUGAUUCACUCUAUACAACAUCCGGUAACCGUUUAUACACAUGGUAUUAUCGCAUGGUCAUCAUUUCCAUAUCUACCAUUUCCCACCCCGUUAAGGUAUUAAAGCGCGGAAUAGUCUCGUUACUUAUUGCAUGCUACUACCCGUCCCAAUCCUAUCAGUUUCGGAGGUAUUUGGACUACUAAUCCUAUAGGGAAGGGGUAUGAGGCUUUAUAGUUUCAAAGGAUAAAAUUCUAAGGCGACAAUAAAGAACAUAUAAUACUGCAAUUAGGGGGAUAAACAUAUAAACAAAGAAAGGCUCAG
rnacentral:lncRNA from 1 species